UCCAGGCCCUGCCCAGAGUGCCAGAGGCCACAGACGCUGAGGAGAGCUCCCCUUCUGCUGCCCCCCACACCCCCAGCCACUCUCGUCUGAGUCUCCUGUGGGGCAGGGGGAGCCAGCCAGAGCGUGUGCCCUCUUCUCCUGUCAAGCGAGGCUCACACCAACCCUCCAGGCAGGCCUUGCCACCAGGCCCACUUAGCAGAUGAGAAAUGCGGGAGGCUUAGAGGUCAUGGUCACGAGCCCUGGGCUCAGCCAGGAGAGGCAGAGGGCGGACCACACAUGGGCAGCCUGACUCCACUGCUCUGCUGCCCUGAGGGGUCCUGCCUGGGACCACACCCCAGAGCACUCUCUGCCAUCAAGGUGGGCUGCAGGGGGCAUCCUCUUCCACCAGACCUCACCCUGGCCUCCCUGCAAGAACACGCGGGCCGUGCGGCUUCCCCUCAGAGAGUCCGAGAAUGGAAAGGGACAGGGUGUCAGUGCCGGCCUGCUCGACAGCUUCCAGGGGAGGAGGGGGAGGCCCCAGCCCCACUUGCCACUUCACAUCUGGAAAUCUGAGUAUCCACCCUGCCUGCCUACCAGCCCUCAGAAGGUCUCCUGCAAAGAACUCAAGUUCCCAGCCUGCCACCCACAAGCUGUGUGAUGCGGGGCAAGGGCCUCCCCUCUCUGAGCCUCCAUUUUCUCACCCUCGAAAUACUCUAAAGGGAUGGCUAGAGAGUGGCCCAGUGGCAGACAACAUCUAUGCCCUGCCCAUCACCUGUCAGCCCACGAGGGACGUCACUGUGGCCUCCGUGGUCCCCGCUGCACACACCAAUGUCUUCUGUUGACAAGAGAGCACCUGGCCUGCAGGACAGCCCCAGGUGCCGUGCGGUUCGUGCCUCCGGGAACAGCCUCAGCCAAUAAGGGGCAGGACUGGUGGGCGCACAUCCCAGCUUCCUCGGCCCAUGCCAGGCAAUUCUGAGGUUUGCUCUGCACAGUCCCCUCAGGGUCCCCAGCUGGCUUGUGCCCCAAUUGCCUCCAAUGGUGACUCUUUGGCAAACGCAGCUUUUGUUGGCUUUCUUCCUUCCCCUGCCUCACAUCGUCACUGUGGUUUCUGGAAUUAUAUCCCAAAUACACUACCUGCACUCAAA